UUGCUUUUCAUUAAGCGGAGGAAAAGAAACCACCAGGGAUUCCCUCAGUAGCGGCGAGUGAAGCGGCAAGAGCUCAGAUUUGAAAUCGCAGCACCAUGCUGCGAGUUGUAGAUUGCAGGUGGGAGAGUCUGCGUAGGCCGGUGUCGAAGUCCCUUGGAACAGGGCGCCACUGAGGGUGAGAGCCCCGUGCGAUGCCACGCUCUACGUUUUGUACUCCCCUCUGACGAGUCGAGUUGUUUGGGAAUGCAGCUCUAAGUGGGUGGUAAAUUCCAUCUAAGGCUAAAUACUGGCGAGAGACCGAUAGCGAACAAGUACUGUGAAGGAAAGAUGAAAAGCACUUUGAAAAGAGAGUGAAACAGCACGUGAAAUUGUUGAAAGGGAAGGGUAUUGGGCCCGACAUGGGAAUCGCGCACCGCUGCUCCUUGUGGGCGGCGCUCUGGGCUUUUCCUGGGCCAGCAUCGGUUCUUGCUGCAGGAGAAGGGGCUGUGGAAUGUGGCUGCCGCGCUUUGCCGGGGCAGUGUUAUAGCCACUGGGCCAGAUGCUGCGUGUGGGGACCGAGGACUGCGGCCGCAAGGUCUCGGAUGCUGGCACAACGGCGCAAUACCGCCCGUCUUGAAAACACGGA
rnacentral:rRNA from 1 species